rnacentral:rRNA from 1 species
GACGAACGCUGGCGGCGUGCUUAACACAUGCAAGUCGAACGGAAAGGCCUGCUUUCCCUUGUGGAUUGCGGGUACUCGAGUGGCGAACGGGUGAGUAACACGUGAGUGAUCUGCCCCCAACUUGGGUAUAAGCCUGGGAAACUGGGUCUAAUUCCCGAUAGGACUGCAGGGUGGUGCCUGUGGUGGAAAACGAUUUUCUAGUGGUUGGGGAUGAGCUCGCGGCCUAUCAGCUUGUUGGUGGGGUAAUGGCCUACCAAGGCGGCGACGGGUAGCCGGCCUGGGAGGGUGGACGGCCACAUUGGGACUGAGCUACGGCCCAGACUCCUACGGGAGGCAGCAGUGGGGAAUAUUGCACCAUGGGCGGAAGCCUGAUGCAGCGACGCCGCGUGGGGGAUGACGGCCUUCGGGUUGUAAACUCCUUUCGACCGCGAGGAAGCCACCUGGUUGGAAGGGUGGUGACGGUAGUGGUAGAAGAAGCACCGGCUAACUACGUG